rnacentral:rRNA from 1 species
AUUGAACGCUGGCGGCAGGCCUAACACAUGCAAGUCGAGCGGAUGAAGGGAGCUUGCUCCUGGAUUCAGCGGCGGACGGGUGAGUAAUGCCUAGGAAUCUGCCUGGUAGUGGGGGAUAACGUCCAGAAACGGGCGCUAAUACCGCAUACGUCCUGAGGGAGAAAGUGGGGGAUCUUCGGACCUCACGCUAUCAGAUGAGCCUAGGUCGGAUUAGCUAGUUGGUGGGGUAAAGGCCUACCAAGGCGACGAUCCGUAACUGGUCUGAGAGGAUGAUCAGUCACACUGGAACUGAGACACGGUCCAGACUCCUACGGGAGGCAGCAGUGGGGAAUAUUGGACAAUGGGCGAAAGCCUGAUCCAGCAAUGCCGCGUGUGUGAAGAAGGUCUUCGGAUUGUAAAGCACUUUAAGUUGGGAGGAAGGGAAGUAAGUUAAUACAUUGCUGUUUUGACGUUACCAACAGAAUAAGCACCGGCUAACUUCGUG